rnacentral:snRNA from 1 species
AAAAUUGACUAGAGGAGAUUACUAUGAUCAUGAUGGUGGUUUUCCCAGAGUGAGGCUUAGCUUAUCUGCACUCUGAACGUACUGUACCUCUGUGAUUUCCCCGAAAUGUGGGGAACUAUACUACAUGGUUUAUUGGUAGUGAGGUACUGUGCUUCAUGCUCUUCUC